CGAUUCACCAUGCGACGUCGUGUGCCACAAGAGAUGCAAUCGGACAACGGUGCCAAUUUUCUUGUUGCUGAUCAAGAGGUAAAAGCAGCUGUCAAGUUUCUCAACUACUCCAGACUAGCAGCAAAAAGGUCAUACCGCGACAUUACCUGGUACUUCAAGCCACCAAGUGCACCACACUAAGGUGGUGUGUUCUAGGUAAGGGCCAAGGCAAUGAAACGACUGCUGCAAGAAGACCUUCAGCUGCUAUUGCCACAACACUUUCUCACUGGCCAUGCUAGGGCAACUAUUGCUGCUGAAGCCAACGCAUCUACAAUUACUCGAGUUCACCCGAGGAAGUGCUGGGAGUUUGUGCAACGUAUAGUAGAUCAGGUAUGGAAACGUUAGCUGAAAGAGAUUGUUCCCAAGCUGGGCAUCCAGGUGAUGUGGUUGCUACAACAGCGUAACGCUAAGAAAGGAGACAUCGUGCUUGUGAUGGAUGAGCACACAGCAAUUGCACAGUGGCCACUUGGACGUAUGCUUAUGACCUAUCCAGUCGGCUCCAGUUACAACUGCCGGUACACAUGAUACAUGAACUGUCUGACCCCUUUCAUGCAUUCGUAUGCAGCUGUCACCUAACACCGGCACCUUUUGUCAUCUACUAGUAUGUAUCAUUUGCCACUACGCUAGGAUCGGGAUGGGAGUCUGUGAUCCGUAGGCGUAGAUCGGUGCUUGUUUUCCUUGGUGUGUGAGUUUUAGGUUCCUGCUUCGGUGGUGCAGGUUGUUGGACUUGUUUUAGUUGAGUUAGCUGUUUGGCACGAGAAUAAAAGAGUAAUAACACAGUCUUCUUAUAGUACAGUAACGACGUUACGUUUGUGGAAUGGUGAAUCAAGACGAGAGGUAGAAACAUAUGCUAUAAUGUCCACUAACACCACCAGUUCCUUGACGAUCAGCUCAUGCGAUAACAUUGCACAAAACUGGCCGACAGUACUGAUGUUCAACAAUUAACUGGCUAUCAGCUCUAGCAUGUCUUGUAGGUCCUUGGUCCUUUUCUUUCCAUCCAAGUUUUCAUAUCCAAUUACCAUUGUUUUUUUGUUGUGUUUUUUUCUUCUUGUUGUCUUCGUCUUUUACUCACUCAUGUGCUCUUUAUCACUUUUCCUUCACGAGGGAGGUAUGGUAGAUUGAUUCUCCUAUUUCUGUGUAAUUUACAUGUACUACUGUGUUCGAUGGUGAUGAACCACGAUGCAUUGAUUAUCAUGAAUGCAUGUGACGUGCGUCAUAGAUA